AUUGAACGCUGGCGGAAUGCUUUACACAUGCAAGUCGAACGGCAGCACGGACUUCGGUCCGGUGGCGAGUGGCGAACGGGUGAGUAACAUAUCGGAACGUAUCCAAUAAUGGGGGAUAACGAGUCGAAAGAUUCGCUAAUACCGCAUACGCCCUACGGGGGAAAGCUGGGGACCUUCGGGCCUGGCGUUAAUGGAGCGGCCGAUAUCUGAUUAGCUAGUUGGUGGGGUAAAGGCUCACCAAGGCGACGAUCAGUAGCUGGUCUGAGAGGACGACCAGCCACACUGGAACUGAGACACGGUCCAGACUCCUACGGGAGGCAGCAGUGGGGAAUUUUGGACAAUGGGCGCAAGCCUGAUCCAGCCAUUCCGCGUGAGUGAAGAAGGCCUUCGGGUUGUAAAGCUCUUUCGCAAGGGAAGAAAACUUAGCCACUAACAUUGGUUGAGGUUGACGGUACCUUGAUAAGAAGCACCGGCUAACUACGUGCCAGCAGCCGCCGCUG
rnacentral:rRNA from 1 species